UUCUAAGAAAAAGUGAUGGCCCACAUUAAAUCAAGUAAAGAUGCCAGAACUACUGUGGCAGACUGAAGAGAAAGAAAAGGCUCAGAGAAGUGGGCAUGCUAGUAUGAAUCUACUCUACGAAACUGGAAAACCACCAGGGCUAUGUGACUUCUCCUGCUCUCUAUCGUAAUGUAGAAAGAAGGAAUUUGUAUGGAACCACAAAAGACCACAAGUAACCAAAGCAAUCCUGA